rnacentral:rRNA from 1 species
UAAUACGGGGGGUGCAAGCGUUAUUCGGAAUUACUGGGCGUAAAGAGCGCGUAGGCGGUCUCUUAAGUCGGAUGUGAAAGCCCGGGGCUCAACCCCGGAAGUGCACUCGAAACUAUGGGACUUGAGUAUGGGAGAGGGAAGUGGAAUUCCUGGUGUAGCGGUGAAAUGCGUAGAUAUCAGGAGGAACAUCGGUGGCGAAGGCGACUUCCUGGACCAAUACUGACGCUGAGGCGCGAAGGCGUGGGGAGCAAACAGGAUUAGAUACCCUGGUAGUCCACGCAGUAAACGGUGAUCACUAGGUAUAGCGGGUAUUGACCCCUGCUGUGCCGCAGCAAACGCAUUAAGUGAUCCGCCUGGGGAGUACGACCGCAAGGUUA